GCAAAGGUUACUUAUAAACGGCUUUUCCUUAAGCAUUUGAGCAUUUACUAAAGUGUGAUGACUUUGAAGUGCUGCCAAACCAACUGUGAACUAUGAUGAACAAACACCUCCUGCUGAACAUCCAUAGUGCUUGUCCAACGGUUCAUUUUUUGAUGCCUCAGGAAAGAAGGAAAAGGGAGGCGAAACAGAAAACUACCACUACAUAUGAUGAUAGUUCAGACAACAAAGAAGACGCCUCAAAGAAGGUGAAUUCAGAUAUGUUAAAACUAAUUCUGUAAUUAGGGGAAAAUCUCCCCUUGCCCAAACCGUCGUUUCCGCAACCGACGCCUCCCUUCGAUCUCCUGGAACCGACGCCCCCUCGAGGGAUCGUCGUGUCUCUUCGGGACAUAUAAAAGGGGGCCUGUAACCAUCGAUCAAUGGAUUCGAUCAUUCUGAUUCAAAACACGUUAUCACGCACGUAGAACAGCCAGCGAGAGCAAAAGAAACAUCCGAGAAAGGAGAAGAGAGGGAGCACUCGCCGCCGGUGAGAUGCCUAACCUCGUUUCCUUCUUCCUCCGCCUGAUCCGCGAGGAUGGUCGUCGAUACCGUCGUCGCUACCAUGGAGUGGGUGGACUCCGGCGUUUCCGUCGCCGGAUGCAAGCCAUCAGACAGUUCGGCCGCAGCGCCGCUGGAUGCGCCCGUCGCGGUGCUCACCACGCCCCUGGACACGGUUCCCGUGCUCCUGGACGCGCCCACUGCGGUGCUCCCCGCGCCCGUGGCCAGGAGCCCAUGGGGUACGACCCUUGGCUGGUGGCCGGCCCGAG
rnacentral:lncRNA from 1 species